rnacentral:tRNA from 2 species
GGGGCUGUAGCUCAUCUGGAAGAGCGCGGGCUUUGCAAGCCUGAGGUAAGGGGUUCGAUCCCCCUCAGCUCCA